UACGUAGGGGGCAAGCGUUGUCCGGAUUUACUGGGCGUAAAGAGCGUGUAGGCGGCCACGCAGGUCCGUUGUGAAAACUGGAGGCUCAACCUCCAGCUGUCGACGGAAACCGUGUGGCUAGAGUCCGGAAGAGGAGAGUGGAAUUCCUGGUGUAGCGGUGAAAUGCGCAGAUAUCAGGAAGAACACCAAUGGCGAAGGCAGCUCUCUGGGACGGUACUGACGCUGAGGAGCGAAAGCGUGGGUAGCAAACAGG
rnacentral:rRNA from 1 species